rnacentral:rRNA from 1 species
UACGUAGGGGGCAAGCGUUGUCCGGAAUCAUUGGGCGUAAAGAGCGCGUAGGCGGUCCGAUAAGUCCGCUCUGAAAGUCCGGGGCUCAACCCCGGGAGGCGGGCGGAUACUGUCGGGCUAGAGUCCGGAAGAGGCGAGUGGAAUUCCUGGUGUAGCGGUGAAAUGCGCAGAUAUCAGGAGGAACACCGAUGGCGAAGGCAGCUCGCUGGGACGGUACUGACGCUGAGGCGCGAAAGCGUGGGGAGCAAACAGG